rnacentral:miRNA from 12 species
CCAGUGGGGCUGCUGUUAUCGG